GCUCACUCCUGCAUCUCCGCCCACUCUCUGCUGAUCCCUGCCGGCCCGAGUGAAAGAGAUCUUUGGUUUUGCCUUUGCUGACUGCUGAUCUGAUCGUCUCAAGUCUGGUGACCUGCUGCAGAAGAUCCUCUCUCUCUAUCAUUAUAAGCAAUUCUGUCUAUCCUAUCACUCUCCCGACUCUAUCUAAUUUGACAGCCAUUCUAUCUUGUAUCC